rnacentral:rRNA from 1 species
CCUACGGGAGGCAGCAGUGGGGAAUAUUGCACACUGGGGGAAACCCUGAUGCAGCGACGCCGCGUGAGUGAAGAAGUAUCUCGGUAUGUAAAGCUCUAUCUGCCGGGCAGAAAAUGACGGUACCUGCAUAAGAAGCUCCGGCUAACUACGUGCCAGAAGCCGCGGGAUUACGUAGGGGGCAAGCGUUAUCCGGAUUUACUGGGUGUAAAGGGGUCGUAGAAGGCAGGACAAGUCGGGAGUUAACUCCCGGGGCGUAACCCCGGAACUGCUUUGGAAACUGUACGGCUGGAGUGCAGGAGGGGUAAGCGGAAGUCCUAGUGUAGCGAUGAAAUGCGUAGAUAUUAGGAGGAACACCGGUGGCGAAGGCGGCUUACUGGACUGUAACUGACGUUGAGGCUCGAAAGCGUGGGGAGCAAACAGGAUUAGAUACCCUUGUAGUC